UACGUAGGGGGCAAGCGUUGUCCGGACUUACUGGGCGUAAAGCGUGUGCAGGCGGGCCGCUAUGUGCCGUGUGAAAGCUCCCAGCUUAUCUGGGAGAGGUCGCGGUAGACAGGCAGCCUGGAGGCUCGGAGAGGUCAGUGGAAUUCUCGGUGUAGUGGUGAAAUGCGUAGAGAUCUGGAGGAAUACCGGUGGCGAAGGCGGCCCCCUGGACAAAGACUGACGCUCAGGUGCGAAAGCGUGGGGAGCAAACAGG
rnacentral:rRNA from 1 species